AACGAACGCUGGCGGCAGGCCUAACACAUGCAAGUCGAGCGCGCCCUUCGGGGUGAGCGGCGGACGGGUGAGUAACGCGUGGGAACGUGCCCUUCUCUGCGGAAUAGCCUCGGGAAACUGAGAGUAAUACCGCAUACGCCCUUUGGGGGAAAGAUUUAUCGGAGAAGGAUCGGCCCGCGUUGGAUUAGGUAGUUGGUGGGGUAAUGGCCCACCAAGCCGACGAUCCAUAGCUGGUUUGAGAGGAUGAUCAGCCACACUGGGACUGAGACACGGCCCAGACUCCUACGGGAGGCAGCAGUGGGGAAUCUUAGACAAUGGGGGCAACCCUGAUCUAGCCAUGCCGCGUGAGUGAUGAAGGCCUUAGGGUUGUAAAGCUCUUUCAGCUGGGAAGAUAAUGACGUUACCAGCAGAAGAAGCCCCGGCUAACUCCGUG
rnacentral:rRNA from 1 species